AUAUCUUUCUCGGCCUUUUGGCUAAGAUCAAGUGUAGUAUCUGUUCUUAUCAGUUUAAUAUCUGAUAUGUGAACCAUCGGCUCACAUGAUAUUAAAUUAAUUUUUUUUCAAGGGGGAGUUCCCAACACAGCAGCUUGCUCACGCGUCGUCUUUGUGUUGCACUACUGCAUAGCCCCGGCACACCCCAA